rnacentral:rRNA from 1 species
UACGUAGGGUGCAAGCGUUAAUCGGAAUUACUGGGCGUAAAGCGUGCGCAGGCGGUUUUGUAAGACAGAGGUGAAAUCCCCGGGCUCAACCUGGGAACUGCCUUUGUGACUGCAAGGCUUGAGUGCGGCAGAGGGGGAUGGAAUUCCGCGUGUAGCAGUGAAAUGCGUAGAUAUGCGGAGGAACACCGAUGGCGAAGGCGGCUUCCUGGGUCGAUACUGACGCUGAUGCGCGAAAGCGUGGGGAGCAAACAGG